UCGGGAAUUUUGGGCAAUGGGCGAAAGCCUGACCCAGCAACGCCGCGUGAAGGAUGAAGUAUUUCGGUAUGUAAACUUCGAAAGAAUAGGAAGAAUAAAUGACGGUACUAUUUAUAAGGUCCGGCUAACUACGUGCCAGCAGCCGCGGUAAUACGUAGGGACCAAGCGUUGUUCGGAUUUACUGGGCGUAAAGGGCGCGUAGGCGGUGUGUCAAGUCAGUGGUGAAAUCCCGGGGGCUCAACCUCGGAACUGCCUCUGAUACUGCAAAUCUCGAGUCCGAUAGAGGUGAGUGGAAUUCCUAGUGUAGAGGUGAAAUUCGUAGAUAUUAGGAAGAACACCAGUGGCGAAGGCGGCUCACUGGAUCGGUACUGACGCUGAGGUGCGAAAGCGUGGGGAGCAAACAGGAUUAGAUACCCAAGUAGUCCCUGAGCGGGCUGGCAAGGCGCAU
rnacentral:rRNA from 1 species